GCGGGUGUAGCUCAAUGGCAGAGCACCGGCUUCCCAAGCCGGCAACGUGGGUUCGAUUCCCAUCACCCGCUCCA
rnacentral:tRNA from 1 species